UGCAAGUCGAGCGAUCCCCCUUUCGGGGGGGAUAGCGGCAAACGGGUGAGGAACACGUGGGUAACUUGCCCCUCAGACAGGGAUAACUUGCCGAAAGGCAAGCUAAUACCGGGUAAGCUCACACCAUCGCAUGGUGGAGUGAGAAAAGAUGGGGACCUCCUUCGGGAGGCCUAUCGCUGAGGGAGAGACCUGCGUUCUAUCAGCUUGUUGGUGGGGUUACGGCCUACCAAGGCGACGACGGAUAGCUGGCCUGAGAGGGUGGUCAGCCACACUGGGACUGAGACACUGCCCAGACUCCUACGGGAGGCUGCAGUCGAGAAUCUUUCGCAAUGGGGGAGACCCUGACGAUGCGACGCCGCGUGCAGGAUGAAGGCCUUCGGGUUGUAAACUGCUGUCAGGAGGGACGAAUGCCCGUGUCCAAAUAGGCUCACGGGAGUGACGGUACCUCCAGAGGAAGCCACGGCUAACUCCGUGCCAGCAGCCGCGGUAAUACGGGGGUGGCAAGCGUUGCUCGGAUUCAUUGGGUGUAAAGGGUGUGCAGGCGGUUUGGUCAGUCGGGCGUGAAAGCCCCGGGCUCAACCCGGGAAAGUCGUCCGAUACUGCUAGACUCGAGUGUGGGAGAGGAAAGCGGAACUCUUGGUGUAAGGGUGAAAUCUGUAGAUAUCAAGAGGAACACCGGUGGCGAAGGCGGCUUUCUGGACCACAACUGACGCUGAGACACGAAAGCGUGGGGAGCAAACAGGAUUAGAUACCCUGGUAGUCCACGCCGUAAACGAUGA
rnacentral:rRNA from 1 species